CCAUUCUGUUGAAGCAAUAAACUGACAGAGAAAGACAAAACAAGAAGUGGUGAGGCGGACUGUCGUAGCGUUAGCGUCCCAGUUUGCAUCACUGCUAAAAGACACGCAGGCAUGGGACUGACAUUAUGAAAGGUGUUACUUUUUUUUUACAACAUAAGGUUUGGGGGGAGGGGGAGAUAUGAGAGGCAAAAAAGUAACAAAGAAAAAUGAGGACAGAGAUCAUGAUAUGGAUGGAAGAGACACAUCAGGGUGUGUUUCAAUGUCCCACCAUCUGCACCAACCAACAAGGGAAUGUUCAGAAACCAGGAUAAGUUGUUUAUGUGCAUAGAACAUAACCAGGAUACUCCAAAAACCUGAUGAAAACCAGUAUUACUACACAAGUAAAUGCACUGAUUGACUCUUGCCAAGUACAAAAGCACUGACAGAAGAAAAUAACUGAACAAGAAAGGUGUGUUUGUGUGCUGAACAUGUGUAUUGCAGUCCAUUACAGGAGCCCUGCAGUAUAUGAUCUGCCUCGUAGACAACUUGUGAGAGUUUAUAAUGUUAAGCUUUGGUUUAAACCAUCAGGACCGGUGGCUGAACAGGCUUGGUUUGUGCGUUUAAAGUGUGCUGUAUAUCUCUGCAUGUCUUUUAUGCUAUAGAACAGUGUCCUAGAAUCUAACAAUACUAUAUCUAUAUGUUGAGACUAUAGGAUUUUAAUUCUUAGUUUGAUUCACUUCACAUGAGUUUGCAUAACAAGUCCAAAGUUGGCUGCAGUGGAGUUCUGCGGAACCACAGGUGUUAUAAAGUUAUGAAGAGAAGUAGGUCUGUUUCUUUAUGGAGGUAUUUAGAGAAGGUGCACCACUCACGGUUGCAUUUCCAGUGACUCGGCUCUGGCCAGGUAGUUGCUGGGUACGAUCCCGGUGUCCAGGACGCGCCCGUUCUUAUCGAUCCUCCGUGCGGUCCACCAGUCCCCGCUGCGGCUGAUGACACUGAACAGGUCCCCCUCCUGGAACGACAGCUCAUCCGUGUGCCGCGAUUCAAACGGCCAGAUCGCCGUGUAGAUACACCCACUCUCGGGCACUCUCUCCAGCGUCGGCGCCGGACUCGGACUCGGUUGUCUGACCUCCCCGCUACUGCUGAAGCCUCCUCCUCCUCCUCCUCCUCCUCCACUGCCACCAUGUACUCCCCCUUCUCCCGGAGAAGCCUUUUUGUCGCUGAAAAUCCUCUGCCAUAGUGUUUCCAGACAUGGACAAGCUUUCCGCAGACACUCACCCAUAGAUGAGCAUGAACGGCCCCCCGCUCGGAGCCGCCUCUCGGUGGCAGACAGCCGGCUGCACCUGUUGGGCAGGUAGACAGGAUGGAGGCGCCGGGAAUCCUCGGAAUGCCUUCACAGAGAACAGCUGCUGCUGCUGUAUCUGUUUGUCCUGCUGAGACUGUGACUACUGUGCUAUAAGACAACAACUUCCUUAAAGCCAGGCAAUAAUAAAACACCCGGAACUCCGCCUAUAUCUGACAGAUGCGUCAUAAAUGAUUUGGAUGAAUUUUGAGUAGAUUAUUUAAUAUGUAGGGAACUUUUUAUACAAAUCUGUCUGUAUUGUGUAUUUUUUUUCAAUAGUUUUUAACAAUCAUACAUGUUUAAUAUAUUAGAAAGUUUACUUUACAUGGACUUUUCUUCACAGAUGUGAACCAGAUGCUGAGAUACAGGCUUACUGUGUAUAUUUUUUUAAGUUUUCUAGCAUGCCCUAAAAUCACUGGUCUAUAUUGUAUUUAUUAUUGUAAGUUUUUAAGUAAUUAAGGAGAAAUUUCUUUUAUAAGGUUUGAUUGAAUAAUAAAAAAAUAUACAAAAUAAUUGCAUAACUACAUAUAAGUAAAAAAUACAAAUAAAAAUGGAAAUAGAAAUAUAAUAAGAGACUACAUACCUUUUUUUAUAGUAGUCAAAUAUAUACACAACAUAUGCUAAUAUAUACAAAGUAAAGGCAUUCCACAGUAUGUGCCAACAGAAAUGAAGUAGUAACGAGUUUUAAAGAUUGUGGUGAUGCCGAAGUUAUAUUUUUACAAGAAUGACAGAAUAAUCCGGUGUAUUUCACAUUAACAAUUAACCACAGUAACAUUCAGCAACAGUUUAACGACUGAUGACUCAGAGUAAACUUACUGGUCUGCGUUCACUUUAAGUAUGUCUGAACCAGUUUUAUUAAACUCAUGAGUGUUCAGUCUCUUAAUCCCACCAAUGACAGUGAAACUCGGGUGGAAAUAACUACAAAGACAUUCAUAUCAUACCAACAUUUAUCUGCAGAUCUCUAAUAUGACAGGAGGACAGGUGAGGUUGUUUUAUUGUUUUUAUUAUUUUUCAUUGGGACUAAGCACUUCCGGGUUGCCUUUGGUAUGUUCUAUAUAAAGAAAUCUUGCCUUGGGGGAAAAAAACAUUUGAUACAUUCUUAACACAAGGUUCACAACCUUCAUCGGUCGUCACGAGCUUCUGGUGUAUUUUACAUAAGUGGAGCUUUUGUCAAACAGGAUUUUUGUGUACAAGUUGCAAAUGUUUGUACUCUUCUUACUGUUGGCUGCAGUGGGAGGAUAAAGUCUCACUGAAGAGCUUCAUGUUGGCUUUUCCUGAUUAUUAUGAAAUUAAUGCCAGUAAAAUGUAAUGAUUGCGGUGAUUAUUAAAGGGAAGCGUUGUCACUUUUCAA